AUGAUGAUGUGGAUUGGUUAUUGGAUGAUCCUUUAGUCCUCAUAUGAUACGAUGAUGUUAUGGCAUGAUAUGUUAUGGAAGUCCAGGUUGUACCCAUUCUACGUCCCUGGCACGAUGUAAGAGGAAGUCCAGGUUGUACCCAUUCUACGUCCCUGGCACAGUUGGACUGUAUGAUAUGUUAUGUUAAGAGAAAGACCGGUUGUACCCAUUCUACGUCCCGGCACAGUUGGACUAUGUAGAGGACUGUAGGUGACAAUACCAU
rnacentral:lncRNA from 1 species